GGUGUUGUGGGGUGUGUGUGGUGUUGGUCUGAUUGGUUUUAAUCGACGGCGACGAUCACUAUUCCAACCCUAAUGUCACGGACUCAAAAUCACCCCCAAAUCCUCAAUCUGAUUACCAUGCCCAACCGCCAUCACUAUCAUCAUCAUCAUCAUCAUCAUCACCAUCUCCAUCAUCCACAGUCACCCCUACCACACCGCUUGGGGUCAAGGAAGACCUCUACGAGCUCACCAAAACCCUAACCCGCCACUUCUAGGGCGUCGCUUCCUUCCUCGCUCCUCCACUUGAUCCCUCCUCCCCUUCUUCUCCACCUUCCCGUCAGAUAUCUGAUGAACUAACUGAUAAUCCCCAAACAAACCACCUGUCCGAUCCGGAGGAAUACAAUGCGGAUUUGAAUGUAGGGAUUCACAGCGAUUUCACCGAGAUUGGCCGGAAAUGCAAGUCCGAAAUCUCCAACCUGUUGAGUAACUUAAUUGUAUCGGAGAUCACUAAGGUCGCAUCAAGCUUCCUGCAGAUUGGAUAGGAAAGAGGUUUUAUCCAUGAGUAUUUGAUUAGCAAUGCUGUCGGUGUGACCGAGGAGGUGUUAACCUUCGUGAGGGAUAUCACGAUGCAUCCAGAGACUUGGCUUGACUUUCCUGUUCCUGACGAUGAAGAUUUUGAUGUUGAACAUCUUGCCUCCAGAUUAUCUGCUCUUCAAAUUGUUAACUUGUCUAGGAUGUACAAGCGAUGGCCGCUUUUGGAAGAUUUACUUUGUACUUUCAAACCCCCAGGUAUGUUAAUUUUUUUUAGUGAAAUCUGUCAUGUCAAAUCUGUUGAUUAUAAAUGUUCUAUGAAUGCCCAUGUCAUUCAUCACCAGGGUGUGAUAUUAGUGCAUGGUGUCUUUUUUUUUUUGUAAUAGAUCAGUUAAUUGAUCAAAUCCAUAACCACUAAUUAUAGCCACAUAUAUUUCAUGGUGAAGAUGGGAAGUAUGGAGAAUUUGAGAUUUGAGGGUAGUUAGUAAACAGAAGAUAGAUUAGCUGAGAUGACCGGGCCAAACAUCGACAUCUAUCUAGUUCCAUCUCUAAAAUUUUAGAUGGGAAAUUUAAGGAUGAUACUGAUGAUUGGUUGAAAGAACAUUCAGAAAUGGUAGGCACAAGUGGAACUAUGCAUAUCAGAAAUGACGAGGAUAUAUCAUUCAGUGACCUUGAAGAGGAGGAUGGAGAUGUACCUACUAGUUAUAAGAAAAUAACACUGGUUUCUGAUGCUGCAGCAAAACACUCACGAGAUUGGGUUCAGUUGAGGAAAGGCUUUUCAGACUCAGUUUAAGGAUAUUAAUCUUAUCAGUGUGAAACAUGCUGGUCUGAGCAGUUCCGUGAUCGCAACUCUGUAUCCAAGGAGUCCAACGAUUGGCUUGAUGUUGAUGAUAUUAAUGUGAUGUGAUGUGAUAAUUCCAUAAAACCCCAGGUGAAUGUGUUUUUCAUCUUUUUGUUAUGUUCUUGUGAAUAGUUUGUAUAUGGUUUCUACGGUCUGAGUUAAGUUUUGGAAACUAUACAUAAAUCUGAACCUAUAAAUUGGAA